AGGGGCUUAGGAUAGCAAAUAAGUCCAAGGGCCUUCAAAGUCCUAAGCGAGAGUGAGAAUCUCCCAGCCCCUG
rnacentral:tRNA from 1 species